rnacentral:rRNA from 1 species
AAUCAACGCUGGCGGCGUGCCUCAGACAUGCAAGUCGAACGAUUAAAGCUCUCUUCGGAGAGUGCAUAGAGUGGCGCACGGGUGAGUAACACGUAAGUAAUCUACCCUCGAGUGGGAGUAACGUCCGGAACGGACGCUAAUACCGCACAAUGCAGCGGCACCGCAAGGUAGACAGUUGUUAAAGGAGAAUUACGCUUGAGGAGGAGCUUGCGGCAGAUUAGCUUGUUGGUAAGGUAACGGCUUACCAAGGCUACGAUCUGUAACCGGUCUUAGAGGACGGUCGGUCACACUGACACUGAAUAACGGGUCAGACUCCUACGGGAGGCAGCAGUCGGG